rnacentral:rRNA from 1 species
GAUGAACGCUGGCGGCGUGCUUAAUACAUGCAAGUCGGACGGAGACAUUAGCAAUAAUGUUUUAGUGGCGAACGGGUGAGUAACGCGUUGGUGACCUGCCCCGAAGAGAGGGAUAACAGUUCGAAAGGAUUGCUAAUACCCCAUGUGGUUGGUUGGAUUAGAUGCCUUACAACUAAACGGAUUUAUUCGCUUCGGGAGGGGCCUGCGUCCCAUCAGCUAGUUGGUAGGGUAAUGGCCUACCAAGGCUAUGACGGGUAGGGGACCUGAGAGGGUGGCCCCCCACAAUGGAACUGAAACACGGUCCAUACACCUACGGGUGGCAGCAGUAGGGAAUAUUGGUUAAUCUGCGAAAGCGGGAACCAGCAACGCCGCGUGCACGAUGAAGGCCUUCGGGUUGUAAAGUGCUUUUUGAGAGGAUGAGGAAGGACAGUACUCUUAGAAUAAGCUUCGGCUAACUACGUGCCAGCAGCCGCCGUAAAAC